GGACUACUGGGGUAUCUAAUCCCGUUUGCUCCCCUAGCCUUCGCGCCUCAGCGUCAGGAGCUGUCCAGAGAUCCGCCUUCGCCACUGGUCUUCCUCACGAUAUCUACGCAUUUCACUGCUACACCGUGAAUUCCGAUCUCCUCUCCAGCCCUCUAGCAGAGCAGUAUCCAGUGCAAUUUCGGAGUUGAGCUCCGAGAUUUCACACCAGACUUACCCCACCGCCUACGCGCCCUUUACGCCCAAUGAAUCCGAACAACGCUUGAGACCUCUGUAUUACCGCGGCUGCUGGCAC
rnacentral:rRNA from 1 species